GAGGAGGAGUUUAGGAGGGAACCUUGUCUGAAAAGAGUAGCCAAAAAUUCUAAAACUGCCGUCACAGGGGCUGUGAAGGGAUCUAGGUUAUGUGACUGGGCCCAG